UUAUCCCAUCAUCAAAUUCAAAAUCAUUUAUAACAUGUAAAAACUUUUCCAUUUUUCUCCUUCAAAAAUUAUUCAAGUAAAUUUUCUAUCCCAAUAUUUAACAGCUUUUGUGAUAUAAAAUAUAUAAUAUAAACUCUCUGAUAUUUUCAAUCUGUCAACAAUUAAUUAUAUAUAGAGAAAUAUUCCAGUAGAUAAAAAUUACAGAAUGUAUUUAAAAUAUCAGUCCAUAUUAUAAAUAUGAUUUAUUAUUCUUUUAAUAUAUUUAUAUAAUUUAUUUUUUAGACAAAAAACCUUAAAUUUGUCAUUCUGUGUCUAUUUAUAAUAUUUCGCACAUUUCACAUAUUAUAUAUUUUAUAGUAUCUAUAGUAAUACUUUUUUUUCAAAUUUGUACAAACACAUUGUAAUUACUUUAUUACUAUUUACUACUUAAUACCAAUCUAAUAAUUUAACCACCAUUAUCUACUCCCAGACCUCUUGGAUACACAGGACUAUAAGAAUUGCAGUCUUCUUUCACAAUUUUGAUAAUAUCGCCACAUAUAAAAAUCUACAAAGCAUUCUUACAUCUAACACCACCACAAAUAUUUAAAAUUGAAAUUACACAUCGUCUGCAAACUAAAACACAUCGGAUAAGAAACUACAACAUCUACAGUUUUAGAAGAAAUUAAAAUCUGGCCUAUAUACAAAAAUAUACUGAUAUUGACCAUACUUCAAGAAAAAAGAAUUUUACUAAUAUCCGUAACACAUCAAUGAAGAUAUAAACUAUUUUUACCAUAACAUAUCGGAACAUAUCGGAAAAACAGUGAACUCCAAUGCUUCGAUGUAAAGAUACAUCCCACAUACAUACGGAGAAAUCGCAGAAACAAGAAUUCAUAGUACAAGAUCAGUUGCAACAAAACCUUAGUGGAAAUAUCGCUGAAUAUAUCGUCAAUGAAGAAGAACAAAACUAAAGGGAUUGAUACCACCAGUUACAAAAACCAAUAGGGAACAUCUCCAAAGACCACCAUUGUUUGAAGAGCGAUUCCCUUCAUAACGAUAUUCAAUCAACAACAAGAACAGAAACAGACAUCCCGAUAAGCCUACAAUUAUCAUAUCAAGUCCACCCCACAGAGCCUAACCCAACAACAAGGGCAAGUUAAAGGUUCUUAGCUAUGACUAAAGAAGUGCAAUGUAAAUCUGUAAGUGGUACUAACUAAAUACAUAACCCAAAUCAUACAGCUUGAAAAACUAAGGUACAAAUUAAAAAUAUAUUUUUAUUACAAAUUUAAACAUUUAUAUGAAAAAAACAUUAAUUGUCAAUAUUUCAAUCAUUUCAACCAUUCAUUUUCAUCUACAUUUAUUGUUUUAACUUUAAAGCCUGUUAUCUAAAGAUCAAUUUAUCUAUACUAUAAAUUCUAAAUCUAAAAAAUUACAUUUGUAACACAUAUUACAUACAUAUUUUCUGUAAAGUAUUUCAUUCCUUUAUAUUUCUGUCCAAAUAUUAAUUAUUUUUACUAUAAUUUUUUUUCCUAUUCACUUAAAUAUUUUGUCAUGUAAAAUUUUUGUUUUAAAAUACAUUAUUCUUUACACAGUUCAGUCACAAGAAAACUUUGGCAAACAUACCACUGAACAAUCCAUCAAUGAAGAACGAAUCAUUUGAAAAAAUUGGAUACUAUCAGUUACAAAACCAACAACAGGAACCAAAAAUGACCAUCAUGGUAAAACUAGAGUUUUAAUAAGCCCAUCCCCACAGAGCCUAGCCUAAAAAUAACAAAGGCAGGUCAAAGAUUCCUAGCUAUGGCUAAGGAAGUGCAUUGUAAGUCUGUAACUGAUGGCAACAAAAUACAUAAAUUACAACAUAACGACCCAAAAAAACAUGGUACUUUAAUCUUAACACCAAAAAUAUUGUUUUUCAAAAAUAGCAAUAUAUUCAAACAAAUAUAUUUAUUUAUUUUUAUAUCAAAUUUUAUAAA